AACCUUCAUCAUAUCCUAUCUAGAGAGCACGGCGGAUACAGAGACGUUUAACAUGCCUUCCAUCUAUAAAAGAUGCAUUAUCUUGCUUCCUCCAAGUGAAAAAUUGUUAGGUGACACAUUUAUCAAAAUAGUAACACGCGGGAAUAGAUUCGCUACAUAUUGAGCUUUAAGGCGCAUCUACAAAAAUGCAGGAAAAUAGCUUCACCAUAUACAUAUUGUGAAAGGCAUAUGGAACAAUAUGAUAUUUGGAGCACAGAUAUAAUGAUUUAGGUACUCACAUGGUUAGUGGCUGCAGUGAGAUUGAGUUAAUCACAGCUUGGGACCUUCCUCCUGGACUCAGCAAUAGCAAAUGGCCAAAUAGCUGCACUCAACCUGACCACUUAACAACUUCAGGACAGACAGAGAGGGGGAGAUCACUAUUGCCAUCCCAUGUUCUGUAGCCUAUAAAUAGCCAACUUUUUGAUUGAUACAAGGAACAAAUGAGAGAAGAAUGCGUAAUUUUGCGCAUGAGCCCCCCCUUCAAGUAGAGAGAGAAACAGAAUGUGCGAAGAUAAAUUGGAGUGUGUGUGUGUGUGUGUGUAUGUGUGUGUGUGUGUGUGUGUGUGUGUGUCGAGAGGUAGGGGGGCGGGUUGGGGGUGAGGGAAGAGAAAGCGGGAGAGAAAGCCCCAGGCAGAUCCACGCAGCAAACCUGUAGGGCGAAGGAUUUGCUAUUUAUCUCAGAGCGCCAGUCCGUUACACCUGAGAAGAGAGUAUCCCCAACUGUAAUGAUAGGAAAAUUGGCAGAAAUCUGUGCAUGUUUUCAGCAUUUAAAACUUACGCCACAAAAUGGUUACAAAAAGCUGAAUAGUAUCGGGAGAGUUUGCGAGUAUUACUUGGAAAAUAACACUCGUGCUCGUAUGACGAUCACAAACGGAAAGGAACAAAAGGAAAGAAACACGUUGGAGCUGCUGAGAAAAUAAACAACAGGGCCAAGUCGGUGGAGCCAGUAUUGUUAAUCAUUACACAGCGACAAAAAAAAUUGUUUUACAAAGAGAAAACAGCAUCGAAUUAGGAUUCUGGAUAUCUAAAAAGAAACUACACCUAGCAUAAAAUCAAAACGGAUUCUAGAAUUAUUCUUGUUGCUGUUUUCUGAAUUAUUGCAAGCCAUUAAUAACAUUUUAAAGAGUUCCGUGUUGGUUUGAUCACAUAUUUAGAGGUGGAUCCAAUUGCUUUCAACACCAUUGAAGAUUCCAAUUAGUUACAUGGCAUUGCAGCUAUAAAUUACCCAUACCUAAGGCCUUAUUCCACAUGCACAGGCUGAGUCGGCAGGAUUUAGUGCCAUUCCUAAGGAAAAUUUGGAGGCAUGGGACAUUUAAUCGAGCAGGAUGGUGGUACUACUUGAGCAACCAAAUAUUGCCGUGAAUCUCUGGAAUUCCUUGUCCCGUGGAGUGAUUGAGACUACCUCGCUGCAGCCAAGAACUGACAACAUUCAUCACAAAUAGGGAUGACAGAUUUGACUUGAACUUAUGACCAGGGGCUGGAAGCAAACAGCUUAAAACUCUACGUACUUGGCCAGCUGCAUUUCUGUAUCCUUUAAUUAAGUCAAAAGUCAAGAGCAAAAUAUAUUUUCCUGAUUGACAGUAAUUAUAGACUGUGUGGACAUUAGCUUGCACAUCGAUCUACCUAUGUAAAGAAUUUUUUAUAUUCUGUGUAUAUAUCAGAGUCAAUUCGAGAUUUUCAUUUCAAUGAUGGUUGAGUUAAACCCUCUUUGGAAGGCAAUAACAAUGUUGCACAGAUAUCUUUUUCUUGUAUUCUUUACAUUUGCAAGGUUUUUUUAAAUAAUUAUUUUGUGGAAAAAGAAGUCAAAAUUAAUGAUUACUGCAUAAUAUUCCCCUCUAUUCAUGUCAAUAAAGAAUCUUGAAUAAAUGUUGUAAAUGGUUCAUGCUAUAAUAUAUUUAACUUAGUGUACCUAUAUAUGUAUAUUUUUUAAAAAAACAUGUUUUCUUCUCCUUUUUACCUUCAAAUGGACACAGAGAAUGAAAUUAUGUAUCAAGAGUUUGAUGGACAGAGUGUUGAAAGACAGCACCUUUCAUAUCUAAGGGAGAAAUAUUGACCAGGACACUGGGGAUAACUUCCGUGCUUUUCUUCAAAAGAACUGUACCGCAGGACUCUCAUGACGGGCAGCAGAGCUUCAGUUUAAAAUCGCAAUCAAAAGACAAUAUUUUUGACAGUGCAAAACUCCCUUUGUACUUUACUGGUGUCAGCCUUUUAUCCUUGAGCGUAACUUAAAUCCAUAAUUGUCUAAUUCAGCAGUUAGAAUGUGCCUAUCUAAGCCACAGCUGAUAUCAAAACCUUAGUCAUUGUAGACAUUGGCGAGAAGUCGAUGUGUGAAAUUUCAAAUUUGUGAAGCAGUAGACCUGCUCAGCAAUAACCUGCUCAGUGAUGCCCAGUUUGGUUUCUGCCAGGGUCACUCAGCUGCUGACUUCAUAACAGCCCUUGGUUUAAACAUGGACAAAAGAGUUGAAUUCCAGAGGUGAGGUGAUAGUGACGACCCUUGACAUCAAGGCUGCUUUUGAUCAAGUGUAGCAUCGAGGAGCCCUUGCAAAAUGGGAAUCAAUAGGUACCGGGGGCAAAGUCUCCAGAGGUUGGAGUCAUACCUGACACAUAGGAAGAUGGUCGUGAUUGUUGGAGAUCAGUCAUCUCAGGUCCAGGACAUCUCUGUUGGAGGUUUCUUAGGGUAGUGUCCUUAGCCCAACCAUCUUCAGCUGCUUCAUAAAUGACUUACUCCCCCAUCCUAAAGUCAGAAGUGGGGAUGUUCGCCAAUGUUUUCUCAAUGUUCAGCACCAUUCAUCACUCCUCAGAUACUAAAGUAGCCUGUACCCAAAUGCAACAACAUCUGGACAAUAUCCAGGCUUGUGCUGACAAGUGGUAAGUAACAUUUGCCCCACACAAAUGUUAGGCUAUGACCAUCGCCAGCAAGGGACAAUCUAACCAUCACCCCUUGACAUUCAGUCAUGCUACCAUCACUGAAUUCCCCCACUAUCAACAUUCUGGGUGUUAUCAAUGGUCAAAAACUCACCUGGACUCAUGACAUAAAUGCAGUGGCUACAAGAGCAGGUCAGAGGCUAGAAAUACUGCAGAGAGUAACUCACUUCCUGACACCCGAAAGCCUGUUUACUGUCUACAAGGCACAAGUCAGGAUUGUGGUGGAAUACUCCCCACUUAACUGGAUAAGUGCAGUCCCAAGAAUACACAAGAAGCUUGACACCAUCUAGGACAAAACAGCCUGCGUGAUUGGCACUGUAUCCACAAGCAUCCCACUCCCUUCACCAUUGAUGCUCAGUAGCAGCAGUAUGUACUAUCUACAAGAUGCACUGCAGGAAUACACUGAAAAAUCUCAAAUGCGCGACCACUUGCAUCUAGAAAGACAAGAGCAGCAGACAUAGAUAGCUACAAACAUAAUUCUCAAUUAUGCUUGAGGGCAAAUUGUAGAUUAUUGCAAUAUUGUUCUUCAGGUCUUAGAGUAACUCAGUAAGCAGAUAUAAAACAUGAGAGAUUUAACAUAAGAUGAAAAAUUUUAAUCAGACCUAGUUUUGCAAUAAAAAUUAAUUAGGUUUUGUGCAAAUUAUGUGACUAUUAGUGUGCUCAGGUAAAUCAAUGAUUUUACUCUUCCUGCUCUUUUUUUGGUGAAAUUAUAUGCACUUUCAUUAAAAUUUAGUUUCCACACAAAAUGAUGACCAUCAGGGAAAAUUGAUAUUUCAGAAGUGGUUGGAAUUACUGCAAUAUCAACGUACAUAUAAUGAGGCUGGAUUUUAGUAAAAAUUAGCCAAGUGUCAAUUUUGGGGAGUUUUAUGGAAGCUUUCCUUUUGUGAUCUCUGGUGAGUUUUCUCUCAUGAUUUUCUGCAGCUUGUCUCGUUACGUAUGCAGCACAUGUCAAUGGUGUCCCAUCUACAACAAUGUGUGCACAUCAGCAGUGAAUGAACUUGUCCUUGUAUGGACCUCCAGGGGUUCCUGGUACUGAUGCCACAUUUAAACUGCAGUUGUGCAGCAGAUGAAGAGCCAUCUGUUAGGAACUAUCCUUCUCAGCACCUAUGAGUGAAGAAUUGUCCAAGAGAUGGCUAAUGAUAGAGCCAAGUUGGCUCCCCACUUCACCAAUACUCUCCUGGAGAUCCUGGUGAACAAGACAAGUCCAGUCCAGUGUAGCUAUCUACAUCAAUUUGGUGUCCACUGUCUGGAGCAAUGCUUAGUAUUUCAGAAAGAACAUUAAUCAUCUUCUGUGCUCCGCAAAGGUACAUGUUACAAUCUUCUGUCUAUUGCCUCUCAUUCUGUUUCAGGAACCACCUCCUGCCUAAGCUGUAGGUCAAAAUCAUUCAUUGCUGAAUGCAAUAUUUUCGCUCACACUCUCAGCCAGGAAAACCCGCACAUUACUUAGCCCUCCAUAUCCUCUGUAUUUCCUACUUAUUUACUGUGUCUACCUCACUACCAUUUCCUCAUUAAAAGCUACAUCAGCCUCACCCAAUCUCCCCCUUUAUUGCUUUCAAGAUUAAAGAUCUCAUAAUAUUGUGGAGAAGAGCAAAGAUAGGUGAUGCAUGACAUCCUUCUCCUUGUCUUAACAGGAUCCAUGACCAUAAUUCCGCAUGUGCUGAUGCUGAGACACCCAUAUGAUGCUACUCAAAUAAAAUUCAUUGUCAAUUACUGUGCUGUACUCCCAUUACUCCUACCGUGAAUGUAUUCUUAACAGGCCAGAACUUCUAUCCAUACUUGCAAUUCAUUCUCUCUCUUUUCUCCUGCCAGUGGUAUCUGUACAGUCUCCACCCUGAAGACAUCAAUAUCUCUGGACAUUAUCUCCUUCUCCAUAUUGGAGGGAAAAACUACAGAUGCAUCAGAAGAAGCACCCACAAGGGUGUCACCUGCACCAUCUACCAGCUGUGAAACUAAGACCUUGGUGGACAUGUUAGCUGAAGCAGAGUCAGGAGCACAUUCUGGUGAACACAUCACUGCCACAUGUCCACAGCCUAUUGAGGAAGAAGCACUGACAUUCAGAGAACUGGCAGACAUCAGACAUUUGCUCAGUCCCAGGCAGGGUUUUGACCACUCAUAAUUUCAUCCAAAUGUGCAGAUGGACAGAAGAGCUGCAGGCAGCUUUAUCAGAGACACUGGCCAAACUGAAUCAGAGGUGUCCACUAAUGCUUUCAACUCUAUGGCGCCUCUGGCAAGUGAACAUUUGGUGGCCUUUGUGGGCAGGUUGGUGGUUGUGAUGGAGAGUCAAGCCCAGCACAGAGCACCUGCCAGAUGUACAACAGAUCUGGUGCUCAACACCAACUGCCAGGCGACAGGGAAAUAAGGAAAUGUGACCACAGUUCAUGUGCCAUUCUGUACAAGGGGACAGUGUGCUACCAGUAGAAAUCCAGUCGCAGGAGGUACCACAUUCAGGCCCCUGAUCUCUCCCCCCGACCUUUCCCCGCAAGAUGUUUCAGAGGUGCCCAAGCUUUCCAUUUCUACCCAGCUUGCUAUCCUCAACACAGGGAGUUCAAACCAAGGAGGAUGACCAUGCAUAAGGACAGGGCAUACUCAGAAUAUCUGAGCCCAGUAGCCACAAACAACCUGAGGGUAGCCCAACCAAAACAUCAAGGCUAAUAAGCUCCAUUUUAAACCAGGCUCCAAGCUAUAGGGCAUGCUCCCUUCAUCUUAGCAAAACUAUGUGUAGACAUAAUCUGAGGGAAAAGAAGAAGAUCUUCUGAGGGCACAUGGAUAGAAUGAAUGACAUUGCAUUGCAGAUAUGUUGUCAUGUUUCUAAAUAUAUGUUCAUUUUUCAUCAUUAGUUCUGUGUGAGAAUGUGAUUUUAGCUGCAACUACAAGAUGAAGGUAGAAAGACUGGCCAUCUUUGGCAUGACAUAAUGAUUUAAUCCUGCCUGAGUUCUCGGUAUCCUUUCUCUAGUACAUUUACAAGCAUGAAACUUUGUUAUAGUUGAAUGCGGGAGCAUUAGAUGUUGAGAAGUUUCUAUCUAUUUGUAACCUUAACUUUCAUUAAACAGCUUGAACUCCAUAAAAAGAUUAAAGAGUUAAGUCACACUUGGUGUAAAGAUUAUCAGAGGAUGCUGGCCUCAGCAGCAUCACAAUAUUUACAGCCAAUGAAAGAUGACUGUACACAAUUCCACUCCAUUGAAUAACAUUCGCAAGGAAGUCCUGCCUGUGUUGUUUUGACCAAUGUUGCUGCAUGAUAGGAUGCUGAAGAUGCUACUCUGUUUGAAAAAUGUCCUCUUGUUCUUAUUUGGCACAAUACUGUGGCCUGCAUUGAACCCCAUCAUCUAUCACAUGGCCUUGAUGCAUCUUCCAGUCAUCUGGAGCAGAGAUCCUGAGGAUCAAGUGAUAUUGUCUGCUGGGAAAGUUGUGGUACAAAGUGCCAGACUUGAUCUACAUGGAAGUGUGCUGUAAUGGGGCCAUCCAGGACUUUGAUAUGGGGAGUGCAUGAUAUGCUUGCCAUGACUAAGCUAUGCAUCUGUGGAUCAGUUUUAGCUUUCUAAGCUUUUAUGAAUUUAAAUGUGAUAGACACAGUCAGCACUGCACACAGUUUCCUUAGACAUUAUUUUGUACAGUUUAACUCCACAUCAGUUAUAUAACAUAUAGAAUUUCUUCCAUUCCACUUUUUGUUCUGUUUUAUAUUAUGUAUAGAUUGAAUAGUGAUGAGGAUUUGAGUGGUUUUCUUAAAAUUGUUCUUAAAAUGAAUGAAGUAAGUUCUCAGACUACCAUUGCUGAUAUCAUUUUGUAUGAGCUAACAGGACUCUUGUCAUCAUAAUGUGGACUUAUUACCACCAAGUUCCUUUUAAGGUACGAACUCCAGGCCUGGCUUGGUCAAGUGAGAUAGAGGAAAACAACUAGCUAGUUUGAAACAAGGUGUAAUCUAUUGCAUGACAGUAAUCAUGUAAAAGUUGCACUGCUAUGAUAGACACUGUUAUGUGAGGAGACCUAAAUGAUAGGCCUGUUUCCUUUGAGAUCCAGUGUUAUUUUGCCUUUCCCCACCAAAGUCCUUAUGACACCUUCAAACUGGGUGAAAUUCAGGGCAGUCUUUAGCAUUACCCCUUUAAGUACUAUUGACAAGGUGCAUGGCUAAAUAAAUGAUUUGGUGGCUUUAUGUUCCAGCAUAUAGUUUUGAGAGUCCCAUAUUUGUGCCUUCUCAUCAGUGGGUGAAUUUCUGAACAGUUUUUGUUGGCAAUUCUUUUCUUGGUGAUUGUGUUUCUUGAUAAUCUAAUGAAAAGGCAUUGCAUUUUUUGUUUUAGAAAAGGUGUGGAGGAUAUGUUGACAUUCUCCAUGGUCUAUUGGUGGUCGGUAGUAUGGGAGGGGUUUUAUCUUUAUUCCCAGAUGGUUCAGUUGUUGGAAUGUGUCUUGUUUCCUAAUAGUCCAAUGGUGAGAAUGUGUCUAUUUUCCCUCAUAGCCCAAAGAGGGUGGGAUGUAUUUACAUUCCUCUUCAUAAAAUAUUAAGGAAUAGGUCUACAUUCGUCAUGCCCAGUAAUUAGAGACGUGUCAUGUUCCUCAGUCAAAUCAUGAAAGUUAUUUCAAGUCAGGCUAUCCUUGUCUACUUUCCCAGACAUGGUAAUGGUUGACUUGGGAGUAGCGUUGAAGGUUAAUUGUCCCUCAUCUUGUGGCUAUUAUGAGGAGAAGGAUACAUUUCUCCAAUACUUUAUAAUUUAGCAAAGCUAUGUUGAGUACCAGGCCAGAAGUUUAGUCUGACAUUGAAAAAGAAACGUAAUCUAGCAUUCAUUGUUUUAACGUUAGCACAUUUUGCAAAAUAAAAUACCAAUGACUGUUGAAAUAAGAAAUAAUGUCCGUUGGAAAUUUAUGAAUGCAUGCACCACAUACAUUUAAACAAAUUAAUGAAAAAUUAACGUUUCUUAAUUGCUAACAAAAAAUCAGAAACAUCAAACCACUUUUUAGCUGCUCCCACCAUCUCAGUGACUCCUGUUAAAUAAAACAU